AGAGUUUGAUCCUGGCUCAGAUUGAACGCUGGCGGUAUGCUUAACACAUGCAAGUCGAACGGAAACGAUACUAGCUUGCUAGUAGGCGUCGAGUGGCGGACGGGUGAGUAACGCGUAGGAAUCUGCCUGAUAGUGGGGGAUAGCCCGAAGAAAUUCGGAUUAAUACCGCAUAAUCUAUUCGUAGUAAAGUGGGGGACUUUUAAGCCUCACGCUAUCAGAUGAGCCUGCGUAAGAUUAGCUAGUUGGUAGGGUAAAAGCCUACCAAGGCAACGAUCUUUAGCUGGUCUGAGAGGAUGAUCAGCCACAUCGGGACUGAGACACGGCCCGAACUCCUACGGGAGGCAGCAGUGGGGAAUAUUGGACAAUGGGGGCAACCCUGAUCCAGCAAUACCGCGUGUGUGAAGAAGGCCUGAGGGUUGUAAAGCACUUUCAAUUGUGAAGAAAAGUUAACGGUUAAUAACCGUUAGCCUUGACGUUAACUUUAGAAGAAGCACCGGCUAACUCCGUGCCAGCAGCCGCGGUAAUACGGAGGGUGCAAGCGUUAAUCGGAAUUACUGGGCGUAAAGCGUGCGUAGGCGGUUUAUUAAGUCAGAUGUGAAAGCCCCGGGCUUAACCUGGGAACUGCAUUUGAAACUGGUCAACUAGAGUAUGGUAGAGGAAAGUGGAAUUUCUGGUGUAGCGGUGAAAUGCGUAGAUAUCAGAAGGAACAUCAAUGGCGAAGGCAGCUUUCUGGACCAAUACUGACGCUGAGGUACGAAAGCGUGGGUAGCAAACAGGAUUAGAUACCCUGGUAGUCCACGCCGUAAACGAUGAUAACUAGCCGUUGGGGGGAUUUACCCUUUAGUGGCGAAGCUAACGCGUUAAGUUAUCCGCCUGGGGAGUACGGCCGCAAGGUUAAAACUCAAAGGAAUUGACGGGGACCCGCACAAGCGGUGGAGCAUGUGGUUUAAUUCGAUGCAACGCGAAGAACCUUACCUGGUCUUGACAUCCUGUGCUAACCCGAGAGAUCGGGCGUUCACUUCGGUGACACAGUGACAGGUGCUGCAUGGCUGUCGUCAGCUCGUGUCGUGAGAUGUUCGGUUAAGUCCGGCAACGAGCGCAACCCACAUCCUUAGUUGCCAGCAGUUCGGCUGGGCACUCUAAGGAAACUGCCCGUGAUAAGCGGGAGGAAGGUGUGGAUGACGUCAAGUCCUCAUGGCCCUUACGGGUUGGGCUACACACGUGCUACAAUGGCAGUGACAAUGGGUU
rnacentral:rRNA from 1 species